AGCUGGGGCGGCAGAGACGGGCACACCCCAGGGUGGAGCAGCAAACAAAAUGUAGCAGAAACUCCGCAGCUGUAGCAGGAGCUGCGGGGUGUCCUGCUGGGCAAGGGACACUGAGUUUAAAUUGUAGCAAAAAAGCUGGAGGAAACAGUGCAGGAAACACCCAGGCUGGGCAGCAGCCGCAGGGAUUCUGUAAGCAGAUGCUGCACACAGACAGGAGACGCGGGCUCUGGGAAGGGGGAGAGAGUUGGGGUUCCAGGUUUUUCCCCUGAAGCACCUGAGCAGAUGGUGAGGGUCCUUUCCAGUGUGAUCAGGUUUUAAUAAGGUCCCAGUUCAGUGGCUGCUCUUAGGAGCAAAGGCUCACCCGCAGCAGAAGAAGCAGCACAGGGCUGGACGCCACGGCGGCAGAGAAUUCUCCUCAUAGCAGCAGCAACUUGACCAUUCCCCUCCAAUCUGAAAGUGAGAUGGGACAAAGGCCAGCCCCUCAUCCCCAGCCAAAAUCUCAUGGCAUGUCUGCCCUUCCAACAAGAAAACCCCCCAGAGGAAGAGGCGGUGAAUCCAGACAGAGGUACCAUUCAAGGCCUCAUUCCCUUCAAGCAGAAAAAGUAUCUGUGUGGAACUAACCCACCAUUCACCAAGAAUUUUUAUUCUUUAUGCACUUCUUUUCUCCUAAGAUCCAAUCUCUACAUAAGACUCACUAGAAACAAGACAAUUUGACCUUGACUGAAACAUCCUGCAUGUCCCAGAGGGUUAUGUUUUACAGUGAAGAAAGGCUACACCCUCUCUAUUCAAAAGAAAAGAACUUCUGAGCAAAGUCACUGAAAGGUAAUUUUAAAAGGCUCACAUUAAUGACAGCUUGAAAAAUAGAUAUCCAGGAAUGUCUUCUCAAGUCACCUGUCAACAAUCUUGUUCUCACCAGAGGCACUUAAAGCAAGACCUGUACUUCUCACUAUGAGUUUAGCCAUCUUUAGAGAACUUUUUUACUUUGUAUCCUGGGAUGAAAAAUAAAAGAUGUUUGGAUAUGGCAGCUGGGUAGAGCAUCUCACAGUUGGGUCUCUCUCACCAAAGCUUAGCUCCAAGCUUAAAUUUAAUAUGGACAUCAUCUUAAGAGGGAAAUGAGACAUAAAAUUGUCAGGAUAUGCCUACUACAAUCAGAGAUACAGCCAGUAACAGCAAGGCCAUGAUUUGAAAAUUUGUGGCUAUGAUUUGAAAAUUCAUGGGUAAUCUCCAGUAUUAUGUUUCUUAAGUGUGUCUUAAGAAAGAAGAAUAAGUGACAGCCAUCUGAUUCAUACAUGGUUAGGGUCAGGAGGAGCUAUUUCUUUUCUGGGUGCCUUCACACACACAUGCCCUGGUCCUGAUAACCUCUGCAUUGUGACAGAUGCAAAAAAUAGCAAAUCACCCAUCAGCCUCUCCAACAGGGACUACCCAGACACAAAGAGAAAAUCUCCCAACGUUAGGAGAGGAGACAUCCCAGACCAACAGUGUUCCUUGGGUUUGGGGUUUUUUUUAACUUGGCAUUGAGGUUAGUCAUUAAAUGUUAGAAUUGAAUAUAAGAAAAUACAAUACAGAACACAGAAUAAAUGAAGAAGCCAAAAGAACACCAAGUUAUUGCAGCAUAUCACACCUCAGUUCAUGAACUAGGUGGUCUCUGUCAGCUUCAGACAGCCUGUUCCAGCAAAAGAAAUCCUGUAAUUGGCUGGGUUUGCUCUGGGGGAAAAUUCCUUCCUAGUCCUUAAAAAUUACAAGGCAGCAAAUUGCUUUAAAGUUUGCUACUGCAAAUGACUAAGCCCUUUUCAUUUAUUUCCUAAUACUUUUCUAUUAGAACUUGGAUAUUAAUGUUAAAUUACAUUGUCUCACUGAAAAGCCCCAUUACAAAUGACAUAAAUCUGAGGCACAGGAACAACUGCUCCCAGGACAGUAUUAAGAAAUCCCCUUUAAAUAUUUUUGCAGUUGCCAUAACCUGUUUCUGAGAGGACUGAAUUCUUUCUCCUUUAUUUCUUCCAAAACACACACUGUGUGGAUUAGCAUAUCUUCUACUCUAUGCUCUUGUUUUUUUUAAUUAGACACCUAGCACACAAAACAAAAGUUGCAUUCAAGACACCCAUCAGACUUGUCUGCAUUGCUAAACCUCAAUGAUUUUAUUGCCUGGAGGAAUAAAACCUGUGGAGCACAGCCUUCGUUCUGCAUAUAAGUCCUAUUUUGCAGAUCCAAUGUUGAAAUGUCCUGCUCUGUUUGUACAUGGGCAAUUGAGCAGGAAAACCAGUGGAUCAGUUAUUGUCUCACAGGGUAUACAAGGAAUGAAAGAAUCAUGAAAUGAAUGUCCUUACAAUGGGAACUGUUUGAGUCCUACAGCUGAGUCCUCCUGGCUGUGCCUUCCCUUAAAAGAAAAGAAGAAAUUUCCCUCCAAAUAUCAGUUCAACUUCCUACAGUUCUGUCAUCUUGUACUUUGGGCAUGAUGGAUUUCCUCAGGAAACCUUCCAUUGUCUGUCCACUCACAGGACACAGACAACAUUUCCUACUGAUGUGUUGUGGUUACAGCUGACUUCAUGGGGAUUCCAACAGGAAUGAUACCUGGGUGACCACAUUGUCAUUGUUAUUUGGAGAACAGAAGGGAAAUGAAAACUCCCUGACAUGUUGGAGAAGAGAUGGCUGGGGAGGGCCGAAACAUCUCAGCAGCAGCUCUCCUGCAGGCGAAGUCUGACUGCAUGAAGAAGCAGUCCCUCCACUCUGCAUCCUUUCUCUGCUCUAGGCAAGGUUUGAAGCCCACCAGGGAAGGCACUUCAGGAGCAACCAGUGACAGUGAGCUGAAACAUUACCAAGUCACUGCAGCACAGGGAGCUUUGUUAUGACAACCUGUAGAGGCUACAAAGGAAGCCACUGGAUGCCCUCCAACCACAAAGCAACAUGGAUAUUUCUGCUUGAAGCCCAGACUGUUCUUGCAGCUUCUCAUCAACAGUAAACAUUGUUUUUCAGAGCGACAGAGGAUGAAUAAUUUCUCUUUUAAAGCUUUAGAGGAGGAGGUUGAGUGAGCAGAAAUACACAUAUCACCAGGGAAGAGAAACAAAUCUUUGUUUUUCUGCAAAGAAUAGACAGAACUGAUUUCUCUCAAUAAAGACAAUGUCAUCAAAAUGA